rnacentral:rRNA from 1 species
CCUACGGGAGGCAGCAGUGAGGAAUCUUGGUCAAUGGGCGAGAGCCUGACCCAGCCACGCCGCGUGAAGGAUGAAGGAUCUAUGAUUGUUAAACUUUUUUUAUAUAGAAGUACAAUGAGGAAAGUAUUCCUUUUUGUAUUUACCAUAUCAAUAAACAUAGGCUAACUCCGUUCCAGCAGCCGCGGUAAGACGGAGCAUACGAGCGUUAUCCGGAUUUAUUGGGUUUAACGGGUGCGUAGGUGGUUAAUUAAGUCAGAUGUGAAAGCUUGUGGCUCAACCAGAAAAGUGCCGUUGAAACUGGUUGACUUGAGUAUAGAUGAGGUGGGCGGAAUGCGUGGUGUAGCGGUGAAAUGCAUAGAUAUCACGCAGAACUCCGAUUGCGAAGGCAGCUCACUAAACUAUAACUGACACUGAAGCACGAAAGCGUGGGGAUCAAACAGGAUUAGAUACCCUGGUAGUC